rnacentral:lncRNA from 1 species
AUCCGAUCCGGGGAGGCAAGCCUGGGAGACGAGCUGAAUGAACUGGGAUUUCUUGGAGAAGUGGUAGAGCCAAGCUCUGGAACCGGAAAUACGCAAGGUGUGACUGAGUUGGAAAUCUUGGCUUCACUCCACCAAUGACCUGAGUCAUUCUUAGAAAGUCUGAAGAAGGAGCAUGCAGCUCUGAGGGUGGCAGCAGGUCCAGGAAUUGGAAUGUGACCACAGGGGAAUUCUUCAUAAAGGGCUGAACUUUACUGGAUGAGUUUCCCCUGGAAUACCAGGAAGUCAUAUGAAAUCACAGUUUAGGAAGUGCAUUCAACAGUAUAUGGCAGACAUCA